rnacentral:rRNA from 1 species
AUUGAACGCUGGCGGCAUGCCUUACACAUGCAAGUCGAACGGUAACGCGGGGCAACCUGGCGACGAGUGGCGAACGGGUGAGUAAUGCAUCGGAACGUGCCCAGUAGUGGGGGAUAGCUCGGCGAAAGCCGGAUUAAUACCGCAUACGACCUACGGGUGAAAGCGGGGGAGAGCAAGACCUCGCGCUACUGGAGCGGCCGGUGUCAGAUUAGGUAGUUGGCGGGGUAAAGGCCCACCAAGCCUACGAUCUGUAGCUGGUCUGAGAGGACGACCAGCCACACUGGGAAUGAGACACGGCACAGACUCUGACGGGGGGCGGCAGUGGGGAAUUUUGGACAAUGGGGGAAACCCGGAUCCAGCCAUGCCGCGUGCGGGAAGAAGGCCUUCGGGUUGUAAACCGCUUUUGUCGGGGAAGAAAUCUUCCGGGCUAAUACCCUGGGGGGAUGACGGUACUCGGAGAAUAAGCACCGGUCAACUACGUGCCAGCAGCCGCCGUAAGAC